rnacentral:lncRNA from 1 species
UGAAAAUCAGGAAAUAUAUUCCUCUAUUACAAAAAGUAAUUCCAGUAAACUGUACAAUGUAUUUUGCUUUCAUAAACAAUAAAAAAUUGAAAAUGCAAACCAAUAUGAAACUAAAAAUAUAUACAAUACUAUGCAAACUUUUAUUAAUUGAUAUGAAAAUUUAUACAGUACAUACUAUACAUACUUAACAUCAAAAGUUACAUUGUGCAAUUGAUAAAUUGGCCAUUACUGCUGAUGACGUGAGCUCCAUGGAGCCACUGUCAAUUUUUUUGGAUAAUACAGUAUUAUUUAAAUAAAUCAAAAUUAGCCAGUGACUUAUUUGCUACUUUCUUUUUAUUGUUUCACUACUGUACAAAUCAUAUCUGCAAGAAAAAUAAAAACACAUUCUGGUUAAAUGGGGAAGAGCCACUGCUUCCUCUAUCAAACUCUGAUUUUGAAGAAAGAGAAGAAGAUGAAGAACAGGAUGAUUGAACAGGAAUUGCUACCUUCAUCAAUGGACACUAUGAAAGCACUGGAUAUAGUGUUACCUUAUUUAGAAUCAAAUGGUUGUGAUUCAUAUGAAACUUUUUAUAAAUUAAAGUCAAAUGUAUUUGAAAUUUCAAAAAAAAAUUAUCUCAAAAAUCAGUUACCGAUUAUUUCCAUAACAAAUAGAUUUUUAAUAUGUGUCCUGUAUAUAUUUAUUUAUAGAUAAUAAGAAUCUUGUCAUAGGUUAUAGAUGUGUUUUCUGUUAUAUGCAUGCUAAUUUAUUGGCACUAGUUAAGUGGAUAUUCCCUUGUUA